rnacentral:misc_RNA from 1 species
AUAUGAAGUAUGAUUUAAAGGAAAUAAUAUCGAACAUGUGAAAGCAGUAUAUGAUCAUGCCACAGCAUCAGCCUGUCUUCUAGUCAAUCGUGCGUACAGGCCAUCUUGAUGUAGUAGUUCCCUGUGAUUGCCCAUCUGUGCCGUGGAAAAAGAAAAUUAUGUUCAUAGUAAUUCAGGCUAAAAUUAGUAAGUAUGCUCAACAAGUAAUUCAUCGGCCCAGAUUCAACAUAUGAACUAUGAAAGUUGACUUGUUACACUAUUUCAGUGUUACAAGUCAUAACGCAAAACCCAUUAUCUAACCAGCUACUUGGCUCAGUUGGUACAGUUGAAGGUAACUGCAAGUGGGUUAAGGUGUUCAAUGUUCAGACGCUUCCCCUAAGGUGCAUUACACUUUCAA